rnacentral:rRNA from 1 species
UACGAAAAGUGCAAGCAUUAUCCGGAAUCAUUGGAUUUAAAGGGUCCGCAGGCGGUCUUAUAAAUCAAUGGUGAAAGCCUACAGCUCAACUGUAGAACUGCCAUUGAUACUGUAAGACUUAAAUUCGAUCGAAGUGGGCGGAAUAUAACAUGUAGCGGUGAAAUGCUUAGAUAUGUCAUAGAACACCGAUAGCGAAAACAGCUCACUAGAUCUGGAUUGACACUCAAGGACGAAGGCGUGGAGAGCAAACAGG